rnacentral:rRNA from 1 species
UCGGGAAUUUUGGGCAAUGGGGGAAACCCUGACCCAGCAACGCCGCGUGAAGGAUGAAGUAUUUCGGUAUGUAAACUUCGAAAGAAUAGGAAGAAUAAAUGACGGUACUAUUUAUAAGGUCCGGCUAACUACGUGCUAGCAGCCGCGGUAAUACGUAGGGACCAAGCGUUGUUCGGAUUUACUGGGCGUAAAGGGCGCGUAGGCGGCAUGACAAGUCACUUGUGAAAUCUCUGGGCUUAACCCAGAACGGCCAAGUGAUACUGCUUUGCUAGAGUGCAGAAGGGGCAAUCGGAAUUCUUGGUGUAGCGGUGAAAUGCGUAGAUAUCAAGAGGAACACCUGAGGUGAAGACGGGUUGCUGGGCUGACACUGACGCUGAGGCGCGAAAGCCAGGGGAGCAAACGGGAUUAGAUACCCAGUAGUCCCUGAGCGGGCUGGCAAGGCGCAU